UGGGGUUUAGCUCAGUGGUAGAGUGACUGCCUAGCACGCAUAAGGCCCUAGGUUCCAUCCUAACACCACAA
rnacentral:tRNA from 1 species